rnacentral:rRNA from 1 species
GACGAACGCUGGCGGCGUGCUUAACACAUGCAAGUCGAACGAAGUGGCGAACGGGUGAGUAACGCGUAAUCAACCUGCCCUUCAGAGGGGGACAACAGUUGGAAACGACUGCUAAUACCGCAUACUGAAGGAGGGGAUUGCGUCUGAUUAGCUAGUUGGAGGGGUAACGGCCCACCAAGGCGAUGAUCAGUAGCCGGUCUGAGAGGAUGAUCAGUCACAUUGGAACUGAGACACGGUCCAAACUCCUACGGGAGGCAGCAGUAGGGAAUAUUGCGCAAUGGGGGAAACCCUGACGCAGCAACGCCGCGUGGAGGAUGACACUUUUCGGAGCGUAAACUCCUUUUGUUAGGGAAGCGGUACCUAACGAAUAAGCACCGGCUAACUCCGUGCCAGCCGCCGCGGUAAUAC